UCCCUUUCCUAACUAAUCCUGUCACUAUAAAAUCCUACAGUCAUUCUUCAACACAUAAAGGGAAAACGGACUCACUAGGAGGACCUAGACUGUUUCAGCUUGAACUGUUAACCAAUGGUGGAAAUGCAAGAAUGCUGAAGUUGUGCCUUCGGAGCCAAUAGAGUGGAUUUGUGUGUCCCACAUGACUGUGUUUCCCCUGUCUUUCACAUGGGCAGUAUUUAGUUCAAUUCAGAACUGCAGAUAGUAUAGCGUGCAGAGCAGCAAUGGGAUGUCUGAGCACAAGUGGCUGACUUCCAGGCGACUUCAGGAAGCACAUUUGUACGUUUCUCCUGAAUUAAACUGGGAUUCUGCACCCUUGACAUCCUCUGACCCUCCUUGUCUCUGCAGAAGGAGACAACGACCUGCACAGCACAACAAAACUAUUGCUUAAAAACAAACACAGAAAUUUGCUAUGAGGCAAAUGAAAGUUGGGCAUCUUUGCCUUCCAGAGCUAGUAACUCUACCUUUCACUGAGAUUAACAAAAUCUACAGUCUCUCUUCAAAACAAAUGACAAAUCACCACAGUGUUGCAGACCAGCAAAUGAAGUGAACUAAGGGCAAUUUGACCAACAUCACCUGUGUCGGUUCCCCAGAAGUCGAUGAAACAUGUUAUCAGGUCUCCAAGAGGACCACAAGCCUCAGAAGAUUGCUGUGUAGAAGAAACACUGGGCCAACCUAUCAUGUUGAUAUUACACGAAGCAUAGCCCAGUUUGGUAUUCUUUCUACUCUGAAGAAGUCUCACAUCAGAUGAGCAUCCAGGUGCCAGCUGGUGUAAAUACAGAUGCCACUGACGUCAAUGGAGCUGUGUCAGUUUACACUAGCUGAGAAUCUGAUCCCAAGUGUGUUAGUACCAUUUUUAGACACUGCCACUGGAAUUCACUUUUGCAACACAAUUAAAAAUACAUCCAUGCAUUGCAUUUCUUCCUGUCCCCGAGUGUAUAACUGGAAGCCUGUUAGACUGUGGGAGAGGGCAAAAGGGAUGUGGAAGUGUAGCCAACAACUGUAUCCCUGAGAUAACUUUGCAAUAUGAGUAUUAACACUAUUGUUCUGCUGUCUUCCUUUUAUACAAAUGAAUAUAUGCUUUCAAAAGUCUUAACUCCACCUUCCAGUAACACUUGAAUGCCAGCAAAAGAAAAAAGAUGCUGUAAGCCAUGCAGAGUAUCUAUCAUAUAAAUGUUAACUCACUAUUUUAAUCAGUGUACAAUCUGAAUAAACUGUUUUAAUGCAUCAUUAGGGAAAUUAUCUAACAUCAUAAGAAACCCCCAAAACCUGAGGUCUGUGUAUUCACAAAGUAUUUGUCCUAAGCAAUCUCACUGCUGUACAAGCAGUUUAUCAUUAAAAGUACUAAGCCAGCUGCUGCAAGUAGCCUGCAAGCCAGACCUAUCUGACAUAUACCAUUUAUAUUUCAUCGAACAUUUAUGUGGGGGAGGGAGAAGGAAGAAUGGAAGAGGUGGGGCAAUAAGCAGGGCAGAAUAGUACUUCACAGCUCCAGCCACCAUUUCUAAGUAGGAAGAGGGAGCUUUUGUUAUUGUUUUACAUAAGGUAGCUGUUAAACUUGAGUUUACUGUGUAACAGUUGUCAGUAUUAACCAGUACAAUGAAAUUGAACAUUAGUCUUUUGAUUCAAGAUAUCAAGGUCAAAAAGGAAAAGCUAAUUAGAACCGAAGAUGCAGCUCACAUAGCAAUGAAGUAGUUGUCUGUUUGUGCAGCACAACACCCAUAUCUUCAAUUUAGGUCAGUCCAUCAAGAGGAGGAAAAGGACUGGAGACUGAAGAUGAGAUGCUCUACUUCACACAGUUGCCCUCUGGAAGGACUGGCAAACGCAGUCACUUAAAUUAAGCACAGGUCAUCAGACAAGAUAUCUAAUCUAUUCCUAAGACAGGCAGCUCUAGCAGUCCAAAUCCCUAUGGCCUUUACAGCGACACAAUGAACUACUUCCUCAUGUACCUCUGUCAAUCCAUGUUAGGUUCCAAUUUUUUUAAAGUGGUAUUUCAUGUACACCAUGACCCUAUUGCUCAUAGCAAGGAAAACUCUUUGGUUUAUUUAUGACCUACUAACCUUAAAUAAAAAAAAAAAAAAACCAAAAAAACCCAAAAAAACCCACCACAUCCAAUCUGAAUGUUCACAUAAGCCUGCAGAUCUGAAAUAAAGUUUAAAAUAAAGCUGGCAUUUGUAACAGCUAGCUAAGCCCAGUAAGGGAUUUUAAAAAGAUGAAAACCAGAUGAGAGAAGAUGAAAGCAUUUUUACCCUGCAUAACCUACACACAUAAGGAAUCAGGGCUAGAGCUCAGAAAUACUUUUUUGUGGUUUUGGACUCAUAAGUUUCAGCCCAUUUCAACAGAGGCUAGGUAACCAAGGAAAUACUGAGUUUUUUCCAUUAUGGGGGGUGGGGAGGGAAUAAUAACCUGUGAAAGCAAUUCCUUCUAAGAUGCAAUCCACCCAGCCACAAGUUCUACAUAGCUCCUCUCCUUCCCCUACACCACAUCCUAACUGCCAGGUAUCAGCCAGGCAAGACCCCAUAUUGAAAUAUGAAGUGACAGAUGGAAGGAGGGAAUAAGAAUAUAGGAGUAAGUACUGAAAGAAAUGGUGUACAGAAAGAAAGCUUAUAAUAGGGCAGAUGUUAAAUAUGAGCGACCCUAAACCAUAAAGUCUAUUCAUUUGGCCAGAACAACAUUGAACAGAUGCACAAAAGACUACUGAGUUGGAGAGCCUUAUUCUUUCAUCACUCAUGCUAGUGUAAGGAACUCCUUUCAUAACAUCUAUGGAAUUAAACUGUAGAAAAGCCAGUACAAAUAAAUGGAGGGAAAAAAAAAAAAAUAAAAUCAAACUUCAGAGCUAAAGUAUUAGCAGCAAAUAUCCCAUUCUGCUGUAUCAGGGUGGGUGGGUGGCGGGGGGAAGGUUGACUGCCACAUUUGGUUAGAAUCUAGAUAUAUUCAUAAUCACAAUGGCCUUCCUAAAUAAAACCCAUCUAAUCUACCAUAAAGGAGAAAAUUAGUUGAUUCCAUUCUUGUAUAGUUCUCCAAUAGGCUAUAUUAAUGACUCUGUCCUUUAGAUAUAUUUGAUAGAAAAUACAGGUGAGUUAAAUGACAUAAUAAAUACCUCUACAUGCAGAGCAAUUAGUUGACAGAAACAGCUAGGACAAAGUCCUUGUCAUGGUGUUUGUUUACAAAAGAUACAGGCAGCACACUUAUGACCUGCAGCUUUUUGGUGCUGAUUCCCUUCACGCAAGUACAAACAAGUUUAAGAAAAAACCCCAACAUUUAUAAAGAUUUUUUAAAUAAGCAGAAACAGAUUAGAAAGAGUAUAAGACAUCUUUUACCAAAGGACAGGGUAAACAACAAUUCAUAGAAGCCAAUGGAUCAGUCACAAUUUCAGUGCAGCAAGCUGAGUGGACCUAGCAAAAGAGAAUUCAGACCAGCUGAGCUGUGAGACCACCUUCUGCAGGAGAACUCUGAUAACAAAUGCAAUUAAGGUAAAAUUCCUAGGUUACCAUGUUUUGGCUUCUGAUCCCAUCUCUAAAAGCCCUUCCCCUACAACACAAAAAUUGCAACCCUACAUAUUUAUUUUAAUUUUUAUUUAUAUUAAGAAUGAGGGCAAUUGAGUUGGAAAGCUCAGAUUAGGAAAAAAGUGUUGUGCUACUAGGGAAAUUUUUUAGAAUAAGCACUUUACUGUGUGAUGAUCAAGUUCUGGAUAUGGACAGCAUGCUGCUACCUAAAAAAUAUAUGAAAAGAAAUUUAGGUCAUCAAGCCUUGGUGUACAUUCACUUUUUUUCUCCUGAAAACUGUCAUAACAUGUUCUGCAUGUAUGACAAUUUGUAAGGGAAAAAGGCCCUCUGUCUCUAAGACAUUUAUUGAGAAAUUAAGCCUUCUUAAAAGAAAAUGUAGUUUUCAUCAGUGCUAAGCAAGUUUAAAUCCAUUUGAACCAUGUCAGCAGAAGAAAUUUUACUCAGUUGGGCAAUCUAUAAUUGGCAAACCUGAUUCAUAAAACUCUUAGCCAGCUCUGUUCAUAUAUAUGGGAUCUUGUGUUGUGGUUUGCUAUGAAGUUCAGUUUUGUGAAAUAACAGAAAAUAUUAAUCCACUUGACUGAAUCUCCAACCUAUGUUGUUGAAGCCUGAAAAACUGAAAUAUCUUUUCUUUUCAUAGAAAGAAGUUUGAAAAACUGCCAGCUCCUUGCACAAAGACUGAAAUAGGAUGGGCAGAGAACGGUGUUGGUGUCGGUAAGAGAAAAAUAACUGAAGUUGCAUCAUCUGUAUUAAAAUCAUUGUGUGAAUUUUGAUUCCCCCCCCCCCCCUCCUUUCAGGCAUUUGAGGAUGCUGUCAAGUCAAUGGAGUUCUGUUGUAGUGGUUGCUUCAGUGAACAUUCAACGCUGUCGGUGAGUUUGGAAUUAAAGUGAAAACCAUCGACCGUUGAUUGUACCCUCCAGCUAACCAUCCUCCUCCUUACUUCAUGCUUUCAGGCCUUAACACUGAAGAUAGCAACCUAGCCACCACAUGAUGUUUCUCCCCCACCUGCCAAGCUUUACAAAAAAGGUCACAAUCAACAUUCAUUGCUGUCGGUGGGUUUAACUAUGUGGACAAGCUCACUGAACAAUGAAUGCAACUGUGGCCCCACAUUUUACUGUUGCCGUCGAGAGGAACAUCAGCUCUGAAAGCAGUAGUGAGAAGCAAACACUUCUUAUAGGCUACAUUUUUCUGGUCAAAAAAACAGUUGGGGAUAUUCACUUUUUGCUUGUUUGUUUUUAAGUGUGUUUAACUUAGCUGACUAGGAAAAAAAUAAAUCACUGCCUUUUUCCAGAAUAUUGUCCUCCCAGGGUUCAACAUCACCAAAAUCAUGGAAAUUCUUAUUCAGUAUGUAUGUGGAAAUAAAUAACAGUACAGGGAACUUUGUGUAUAUCCACUCCUAAGGAUUCUGAGCAUAAGAGGAAUGAAUAUUUAAAUCUCAUUUUAACUAGGCACUGUGGAAUAGUUAAAAAAUUUCUUCUAUAAUUUUCACUACAAAUACAAAUGGAAGCCAGAGUUCAAAGAUACAGAUAAAAAUGUUAUAUCAAAUAAAAGAUUAAUUAGUUUUACAUGAAACUGAUUUUAAGCACCUAAAUAAAUACUAUUAGACAGCAAAUACUAUUACAUUUGACUUUUUUUAGGAAUCUGAAAGAUGACAGAAAUGUAUAUCCAGAAAUAAUAAUAGAACAGUAAAAUUGUAAAAUUACUGUAAGCUUUGGGUAUCUAUGUCAUACUCUUGGUAUUGCUGAUGAUAAGAAAAUAAAAGUGUAAAUAAA